rnacentral:rRNA from 1 species
AUUGAACGCUGGCGGCAGGCCUAACACAUGCAAGUCGAACGGUAACAGAAAGCAGCUUGCUGCUUUGCUGACGAGUGGCGGACGGGUGAGUAAUGUCUGGGAAACUGCCUGAUGGAGGGGGAUAACUACUGGAAACGGUAGCUAAUACCGCAUAACGUCGCAAGACCAAAGAGGGGGACCUUCGGGCCUCUUGCCAUCGGAUGUGCCCAGAUGGGAUUAGCUUGUUGGUGGGGUAACGGCUCACCAAGGCGACGAUCCCUAGCUGGUCUGAGAGGAUGACCAGCCACACUGGAACUGAGACACGGUCCAGACUCCUACGGGAGGCAGCAGUGGGAAAUAUUGCACAAUGGGCGCAAGCCUGAUGCAGCCAUGCCGCGUGUAUGAAGAAGGCCUUCGGGUUGUAAAGUACUUUCAGCGGGGAGGAAGGGAGUAAAGUUAAUACCUUUGCUCAUUGACGUUACCCGCAGAAGAAGCACCGGCUAACUCCGUG